ensembl:lncRNA
GCUGAGCUGAACUGAUGCAACUGGGUGCAAAUCCCUGAAGCCCUGAUGACCGCUUUUUGAGGGUGUUCAUGUCUCCAGAUGGCUGAGUGUGAUGGGUCCUGACAAGACCGACCUCCAAACACACACACACACAUCUCUCUCUCUUUCUUUUUUUUUUAGAACCCUUAAGGAUGAUUCGUGUUGUCCCUCUGCGGGAACUGUGAAAGAUUCUGUGUAAAACCCUACAAGAGAGUUCCAUUAGAAAAGGUUCCACGUAGAAAUGCUUAGGAGACUAUGAACCCUUCAAUUAUCCAGUGAACCCAUAAACACCCUUUCUUCUAACAUUCUUAAGGCUCGUCUCUCCUGGGGGAACUCCUACGUAGAACGCUACAACAAAUGGUUCAAACCUUUUAGGAGACUAAAACCCCCUUGAUUAUCCACAGAACCUCUAAGGAACCGGUGAAGAACCUAUUCUAUUCGCGUCGUCCCUGCUAUGAGAACCGUUCAAGCUUCUAUGUAGAACCCUACAACGGAGUGUGCUUCGUCCAUUAGAAAAGGUUCCACAGAGAACUGCUUGAGGAAACUAUGAACCAUUAAAUGAUCCACGAUUCUUAAGAGUUCUUCGGGUGUCUCUCUUCGGGGAACCCGUAAAGAUUCUACAUAGAGCAACAAAUGGUUCAAACAUUUUAGGAGGCUAACCCUACAAGACAGAGUGUCUUUCCGUAAUAGAAAUGGUUCCACAUAGAACAGUUUUUUUUUUUUUUUGGAAGCUAAAAAUCCUUACCUGUCUAACACACCCUUGAAGAACACUUGUUUAGUAGAACCUUUACAUUGCCUUUGCGGUCCCUCUUGGGGGAACCCUUUAAGAUUCCAUAUAGAACCCUACAGCAAAGUGUUUAGAACCCUUCAGGGUUGUUCGGUUGUCUUUCUUUUGGGAAACCCGUAAAGAUUCUAUGUAGAACUCUACAAAAAAAAACGUGUUUUUCGACAAGAAACGGUUCCAGGUCGAAACCGUUUUGGAGGCCAAGAACACUUAAUUAUCCUCAGAACCUCUGAAGAACUCUUGAAGAACCAUUUUUACCAAGAUACAAACAUGGCAGAGUGCCAAAAAAAUGCAAUUUAGCAGUGGGGUUUUUAUAUAAACAAUAUAAAAUAGGCGUAUUUAACGCUUUGUUAAGCUCCGCCCCCUGGGUUACUCCUACAUACAGAGACGUUAAUAUCUUGGUCGUUUUUUGGAGCAAAGUACCCAAAAUUUUUGCAAGGAUGUCAUGGAUGGAACUGUUGAUGGAAACAUACUAGAUAUUCUUUAUUGAUUUAUUUAUGGAAAGAUCGAAACUCCAGCUAGCUACGCUCCUGGACAAUUUCCGUACUCUUAACGACUCUACGUAGAACCCUCCAAAUAAGUGUUUGGAAGCAAAGAACCCUUAAAGAACCCUUGAAGAACCUUUUCCAAGAGUAAACCCAGUAAUCAUCAUCAUCAUCAUCAUCAUCAUCAUCAUCAUCAGGAUGAACUGGCUGAGUGUACGUGCACAGAUCACACGCACAGCAGAUUUGCCAACGAUUAAACUUUUUUAUUUGUUAAAGAACUUCACGCCAUAGUUUCUAUCCAUUUAGAGUUACCUUUAAGGUUGUGGAACAUCCCUGGUUUUGUUCAUCGUCUUUUAUUACCGAGAAACCGCAAAAGAAGCACAAACUCCUCCGUCCUAGAAGUUCUAGAUUUACGUCGGACACUGGAGACUCCUUCCGUGAAUGUUAAACAAACAUGUUACUAUAGAAACGAUAACGUUUUAGAACAAGCGCAUUCACGGGAUAAAGAAAAAAAGCUUAAAAUAGUCAUCUUCUGUGGAGAAAAUCCCUUUUCCUAAAAAGUGUCCAAAGUUUAGAAAGAUUCAAUCCAGAAUUGGUGACGUUCUCCAUCAUGGAAAGAAAAGAAGAAAAAAAAAACAAGUUCUUCAUCUUCCUCUCUCUCUCCGUCCUCUCCAUUUAAAAAAAAAAAAAAAAAAAAGGACAUUUGUUUUCCGGAAAGAUGGGAAUGUACAGAUCUGACCCGAGUGAUCCGUGCUUCAGUGCGCAGUAAAAGUCCACACUCGGAUCCAGAGAAGCUUCUGGAAAAAUCCAGGCGUGAUCCAUUAAGAUCUGUAAAAUAUUCCAGCUCUGGUAUACAAACUGAAUCAGAGCUUUCCGUAUCAGACACGAUCCCGGAUUCUCCACCGAAGCCACCGAUCCGAGUGGAGGCACUUUACGACACCAUCCUUUUAACUCGACACGUCUACAAAUUCCCAGUAUAUCCACUCGGAUCAGAUCCGAGCCAGUCCGGAGUUCUCCGGUUCUCCGUCCAGCGUCCAGGCGAGAGAGAGCGAGCUGAAAUAAAAAGAGAACGACGCCGGUGCUGCAGCGUGCUCGGAUUCCGAGUCUCCUGCUCCUCGGGAUUUCCCGGGAUCGGUGAGGAGAAGAUCUGCCGCGUCGCCCGCGGAGCAGAGAGGAGACCGAUCCCGAGCGUGUUGUCCGUUCCCCGUCACGCCGGAGUUAGACGAGAAGGUGAGCCGGGAUCGGACGGACGGAUGGAACGUGCUGUUCCUCUCACGUGAGCUGGAUGGCAGCAGUACGACUCGGAACGACAGAGGCGGGAGACGCUUUGUCUGUGAGGACGAGAGAGGGGAAUGCAAAGGAAUGUCAGAUCAAAUCUUUUAUUUAAAGGAUCUGAUCGGUGCGCGGAAUACGUCCUACUCAACACACACACGUUCUGCACAAUACGUCCUACUCAACACACACACGUUCUGCACAAUACGUCCUACUCAACACACACACGUUCUGCACCUGGGUUUAUUAAAUAUACAGCAUACACAUGUACAUUACUCAUAUCACAGAUAAACCAUCACUCUCUCUCUCUCUCUCUCUCUCUCUCUCUCUCUCUCUCUCUCGUAGACCUUGUUUUUCUUCUCCUUUGGUUUCUGCUUCUUCUCUUUCUCCACUUCCUUUCAGUCUCCUUUUCUUCUUCUAAUCACAAUUUCUUAUUCACUCAUUCUUUCUCUCUCUUAUUUUUAGUUUACAGCCUUCUUUCUUUCUUUCUCUCUCUCUCUUUCUCUUUCCGUCAUGCUCUUUUUUCUCGCUUUUCUUUUUGUUUCUCUUCAUUUGUAAUCAUUUAUUUUCUUUUUUAUAACCACAUUCUUUUGCUUUUCAGCUUUCAAUCUAUUUUUUUUUCUUUCUUCUUACCACGCCUUCUUGUGUUUUUUUUUUCCCUUCCUUCCUUCCUUCCUUCUUUCUUGUUAAUAAAGAGCAGAUGAUUUGCUGCUGCUUGAUUGUAAAGCGUCCAAAGUCAAACAUUUUUAAAUGGACGUUUGAGGUUUUUUUUUUUUUUUAUAAACACAGCAACACGUUUUUAAUGACAUUCAGGUUUUUUUCCUUUCUUUUUUUGUUUGAUACUCCUCUCUUUCUUUCCUUUAUGUCUGUGUCUUUGUUUUAAUUUUCCCACUCUUCCUUGUUUGUUUUUUUCACUUUAACUCCUGAACUCUUUUUUCUCUGACUCAUGAAAAACACAUUUAGUUAUUAGUUUUAAAUUAAAAUGCAUUUUUAAACAAACAUAAUAAAAAUAAAUAAAAAAAAACAGGCUACAGCUUCAGCAACGUGAAUAGCAAUAUGUAUUUCACUUCAUUGAAAUUAUAAUUUUUUUUAAUGAAAUUAAAAUAAUUUAAAAAAUCAUUUUUUAAAGAGAAAAAGAAUAUAAAACACGAAACAGCCAAAAAAAAAAAAAGAAAAAAGAAGGAAAUAGCAGCAGGCAAGAGAUGGCCAAUUAGGUCUGCCAAGUUACCAUGGCAACCAGGACAGACUCAACAAAUGUUGAGUGCUGAGUGUGUGACACACACACACACACACACACACACACUCAUUAGCAUAUCAGCUACACUGUAUUUGUCUCAUUUUAUCUAUGAAGCAAUCAAAUAAAAAAUGUGUACAGGUAGUGUGUAUUGUGUGUAUUGUGUAGUGUGUGGUGUGUGGUGUGUAGUGUGUAAUGUGUAGUGUAGUGUAGUGUGUAGUGUGUGGUGUGUGGUGUGUAUUGUGUGUAGUGUGUGUAGUGUGUGUAGUGUGUAUUGUGUAGUGUGUAAUGUGUAUCGUGUGUGUAGUGUGUGUAGUGUGUAGUGUGUGGUGUGUAUUGUGUGGUGUGUAGUGUGUGGUGUGUAGUGUGUAUUGUGUAUUGUGUAGUGUGUGUUGUGUGCUGUGUGGUGUGUAUUGUGUAGUGUGUGGUGUGUAGUGUGUAUUGUGUGGUGUGUAUAGUGUUGUGUGUAGUGUGUAUUGUGUAGUGUGUGGUGUGUAUUGUGUAGUGUGUGUUGUGUGGUGUGUAGUGUGUGUUGUGUAGUGUGUAUUGUGUAGUGUGUGUGUGUGU